UCCCUGCAAGCCUGUGUUUGGUUGACUCCCGCCUGGAGUGAUGGGGGACGUUCAUCAUGGGGAUAUUGGGAUCCUUUGUCUGCACCACGGCCAUCAUCUCUGGUUACAUGUCACCUUCUAUAUGCUUCGAGCGAAUACAAAUCCCCCUGAAGAAGACCAAAUUGUGGUCGAAACGCAUCGGGCUAUUCUUAUGGAAGCUACUUCAUCAAUGGCACUAUAUAUUAUUCCAUUGUAUCAUUUAACAUUUAAUUGUUGUUGAGAUAGGUCUCCAACUGUCUGUAACCUGAAUGUAUUUUAUAUUACAACUAUCUGCAUUUUCAUUACUCGUGAUAUAGAAACCUAGUAAAGAAUUUUUUUAUAUAU